UGAGCAGUAGGCAGAGAUGGGGUGAGGACGGGCAGCAAUUAGCACCAAUCACCACACAGGCUGCCCUAACUGCCAGCCCCCCCGGGACCUGAUUAAGCACCAGGUGCCUCUUGCAGCCUCACCCGCUCUCUAAAAAUGGAGACUGCAGCUUUGUUUUGACUGUGGCUCCUUUGUGUCUGCUUUCGCUCCCUCCCCCUCCCCAGCUAAUGAAGAGACUGCAGUCUAUAUGCACAGAUGAGUACUCUGCUAGACGACGUGAGUCUUGCACGUUCCAUAUGGGAAACAGGUUCUGAUCUGUAAGGAUGCAGUAAUGGCAGCAAGAGGGAGAGACCGAUGACAACGGCUCCUCAGAGUUUACGGAGCACUCACUUGGUGACAAACUCUCGGAAUAAACAAGCUCUUCACUUCCUUCAAGGAGUUGAAGGUCGUGGAGGAGAAAAUAGACAUGAAAACAAACACCUGCCAGACCGUGUGCAGGCUGUUCCCCUGGGGCCUUGUAGAAGCUGUGAUGGGAUGGAGGAGGAGGAGACGGAAGAGAUGCUCCAGCUGGGUGAGUGGCUGGGGGCGGGGAGCCGGGGACACUGGGGCAGGCCUAGGGACAGAUAUGACACUUUGUGCCCAGUCAGUCAUCCCCAAUACUUUAUCUCCUUUCUUCCAAGUUGAUGAUUCCUUGGUUUGGGGAAAAAAGGAGGAGGGAGCUGAGAGCUGAUCCUGAAAGUCUCUGACUCUGAACGUGGUCCCCUGAGCGGCCGACAGUGAACGUCAGCCGCAUCUAAGACAGGAGCCUUGAACCUUCUCUGUGAAGGCCCAGACAGUAACCGUCCCGGCUUUGUGGGCACAUGGGUCUCUGUCGUAUAUUCUUCUCUGUUGUCUUUUAUAGUCUUGUACAUCAAAAAAGCCAUUCUCAGCUCUCUGCAGACAAGAUCCUGGGCCUGGGCUUGGUCCUCGGGUGGUUUGUGGAGUCUGGCCUAAGGGUAGUUGGAGAUGCCCGAUCGCGGGCCUAUCCCACACUGAUGGAGUCAGAACUUGCAUUUUAACAGGAUCCCCGGGAGACUCCUGUGCAUGUUACAGUUUGAGAAGCAGGCGGCUGACUAACCCAUGUCAACCAGGGCAGAGGCUGUGCGAUUUUCACGUUGUCAUCAGAGGAUUCUAUCGCGCUGUUCUGCACCGCCCUCGCUACAGUCUGUGCCCUGAACCACAUUAUGAAGUGCUUUAAAGACACAGACACGCAAAUCUGGGCGUUUCAUUCUCAGUGAGCAAUUCGCAGGGCCCAGAACCCCCCAGCCGAGCCACGUCUCCUCCGCUGAGAGCAACGGAAAGCUACUGACCUGCUGUGCUUAACUGACCCGGAAAUGGCACUGCACUUAAUUUUAAUUUGCUGUGGGUGGCAACGGCGUUCUUUUUCUGGAGAGAAAACAGCAAGCCCUGCUCUGGUGAGGGCUGCAGCUGCGAUUGAUUGCAGAGCUAGCGAGCAGGGAGGGAGGCAGGGCCUGUGCGGGCCCAGACGCCGGCUUCCUGCACAAAGGGAGGGAGGCACAGGCAUCCUGGGAUGCUGUGGAGGCUGCUGUCCCCCUUGAUGGGACCUGGGGCCUGGCCAGAGCGGGCUGCCCCCUGGGCUUGGCUUCCAGAACUGGGAGCUGCUGGGACCCUGUGGAAGAGGCCC
rnacentral:lncRNA from 1 species